ACAUGAAAGGGUCUAAAUGAAAAAACCAAAUUAUUUGGGGUUCCCUAAUAGAUUACCGAUGUGCUGUAUGCAGGCCUCCGGCAAGCAACACCCGAAAAAGGUCCACAUCCAGAUUUGAAUUCUCGAAACCUCCGGUCACCGUCCAAGUUAGGUCACCGACUCCUUCUGACUCAACGCCUUCCUGUGCCAGGCGACCAAACCCCCACCCCUCAAAUAGCUUACCUAGGCGAACCGAUGCCCAUCCAUGCCAGUCCGCUGCCCGUACCGAAUCCUCAUGCGCCGGCGUUGCAAAUGAGUGCAGGCCCGUAUCACUGAGUGUGGUUACUAGCGUAUUCGGGUUGAAUAAGAAAUAUAAAGGCUCACCGAAUGCAUAUGCCAACAUAAUGAAGUGGUGGUAGAUUUUCGGAAUGCGUUGAUAAUGCUGGCGAAGAUUCAUAAUAAGGAGCAUCAGCAUCAUCCGAGUAUUGCAGUUAGGUGCUCGUGCCAGAAUAGCAUGCCAUCAAAGUGGCGGCUACGAAUAGAGGGUGUUGCAAACGAUGAUGAUCACCUUCCAGAGACGACCCCGGUGGACGGUGAUGAUCCGACCUAUGCGCCCACGUUGGAUGCAAACUUCAGCAUGAACCAUAUGCCUUUCAGAUCUAAGAGGUCGAAGAGAGCCACUCGCAAUCGACGGUCUGCCCGUGACAAAACCCAACUAACGAAGCCCGCUAACUUGGUUGAUCUUACCGGCGAACGCGAUCGGGAGACUCGACGGCCUAGUCGUGGCCGGAGCAAGUCGCUGUGACGCUCUACCUCUCUUUAGAAACACUAUAAUUAUCUUGCCCUGAUUGGUAGUGACGGCGUUGUCCACGAGUCAGAACUGUUAUGCAUGAAUGCAGAGAAGAUUCCCAAGACUUUCAAUCUAGCGUUCGAUCCAACACGGUGCAUGGACCUCGCAGGGGUUGGACUCGCUGUUGCAACAUACAUCUUCAGCAAGGAUCUACCAAGAGUGAAAUUCUGGCUGACGUCGGUCACUGUGUUACGGACAGAACGUUACUGACGCUUGUCCCGAAUGAAAGGGUUAUGGAUAAUGUAAUUACCGUCGUGAUCACGAUGUUGUCGAAGACCUCUAGUAGUCACCACUGGUUUAUGCCGACAAUGAUCAUGAUUUUUCAACCUAUAUGGACAGAUGGACAUUGGUACUUGAUGGUGGUGGACCUACGACGACAAAAGCUAGUAUACUUUGACUCAUUGAAGUGUACAAGGGAGACGGAGUCCAAAAAACUUUCUAUGACGCAUGUGGCACUUCACCUUGAGUCGCUAACCAUUGGACCCAAGUGGCUAUCCAAGAGCACUAUGGAACGACCACGAUUCUCUUUGUUCAAGUACGAAGAGCCUUUUGUGCCUCAGCAACAUCGACUUUCAUGAGUUGUUACUCUUCCUCAUACACCGUGAUCUGUUGUCGUCAUGUUUUUCUUACUUGUUGGCUAGUUUUUUUCGUCGAGAGCACUUAUACAAGCUAUUCACUUAUUUAAAAAAACUGAAUUUGUGUGUGACAUGGAAUAAGAUGGAUUGCGGGAUAUGGGUCUUGCAAUGGAUGAUUAGGGGAGCUCUAUGGGCUAUCCACAGUAUUACAAUGGGUAUUUAAUAAAAACAAAUGGCAGCGAAUGAUCAAAAUUGGAUGCGACUAGCCCUCGAUCUUGUAUUGAGGUCACACAAUGUGAAUGCCAUCGAUAUCGUGGAAAAGGCAAUGCGUUACUGGACAAAGAAGGCUGCGUCAUCACGACACAGACGUGAACGAUAGAGUCAACAAGUGAUAACCUUUUUUUGGUGUGGUUUUGUGGCGACUUCCGUCCAACUUUUUUGGGUAACUACUCCGGAUAUGGGCAUUCAGACUUGGUGAUCAUCAUAACCAAAGAAGACAUUGACAUGCGCAACUUAUUUUGUAUUUUUUUUUUACCAGCCGGCAAGUGUCUCACUAAAUCGCAUGGGACAACUCGUACGAAAAACCCUUUUACAAGGAGAGGAGUUUCCCACCCGAAUGCAGUUAACAUGUUUCCCUUUUGAAACCCAUAUCCGGGUUGGAAACUAUACGUCUAAUUAAACAAAUAGCAAUGUGACAAUGCCUUUCAGAAAUUGUUAUGAUAAUAUUUUA